rnacentral:rRNA from 1 species
GAUCCUACGGGACGCAGCAGUGGGGAAUAUUGGGCAAUGGGCGCAAGCCUGACCCAGCAACGCCGCGUGAAGGAAGAAGGCUUUCGGGUUGUAAACUUCUUUUGUCAGGGACGAAGCAAGUGACGGUACCUGACGAAUAAGCCACGGCUAACUACGUGCCAGCAGCCGCGGUAAUACGUAGGUGGCAAGCGUUAUCCGGAUUUACUGGGUGUAAAGGGCGUGUAGGCGGGACUGCAAGUCAGAUGUGAAAACCACGGGCUCAACCUGUGGCCUGCAUUAGAAACCCCGGUAGUCCGAGAUCGGAA